rnacentral:rRNA from 1 species
AGAGUUUGAUCCUGGCUCAGAUUGAACGCUGGCGGCAGGCUUAACACAUGCAAGUCGAGCGGAAACGGCAUAGGCAAUCCCUUCGGGGUGCGCUUAUGGACGUCGAGCGGCGGACGGGUGAGUAAUGCCUGGGAAUCUGCCUGGUAGUGGGGGAUAACUUGCCGAAAGGUAAGCUAAUACCGCGUACGCCCUACGGGGGAAAGCAGGGGAUCUUCGGACCUUGCGCUAUCAGAUGAGCCCAGGCCGGAUUAGCUAGUUGGUAGGGUAAAGGCCUACCAAGGCGACGAUCCGUAGCUGGUCUGAGAGGAUGAUCAGCCACACCGGGACUGAGACACGGCCCGGACUCCUACGGGAGGCAGCAGUGGGGAAUAUUGGACAAUGGGGGGAACCCUGAUCCAGCCAUGCCGCGUGUGUGAAGAAGGUCUUCGGAUUGUAAAGCACUUUAAGUUGGGAGGAAGAGCUCCGGGCUAAUACCCUGCGAGUUUUGACGUUACCAACAGAAUAAGCACCGGCUAACUUCGUGCCAGCAGCCGCGGUAAUACGAAGGGUGCGAGCGCUAAUCGGAAUUACUGGGCGUAAAGCGCGCGUAGGUGGUUUGUUAAGUUGGAAGUGAAAGCCCCGGGCUCAACCUGGGAAUUGCUUUCAAAACUGACGGGCUAGAGUACGGUAGAGGGUAGUGGAAUUUCCUGUGUAGCGGUGAAAUGCGUAGAUAUAGGAAGGAACAUCAGUGGCGAAGGCGACUGCCUGGACUGAUACUGACACUGAGGUGCGAAAGCGUGGGGAGCAAACAGGAUUAGAUACCCUGGUAGUCCACGCCGUAAACGAUGUCAACUAGUUGUUGGGGGUCUUGUGCCCCUAGUAACGCUGCUAACGCAUUAAGUUGACCGCCUGGGGGAGUACGGGCCGCAAGGUUAAAACUCCAAUUGAAUUAACCGGGGGCCCCCCACAAGCGGGGGGAACAUGUGGUUUUAUU